rfam:Angiostrongylus cantonensis strain Taiwan genome assembly, scaffold: ACAC_contig0010315
GCAUUGGUGGUUCAAUGGUAGAUUGCUCGCCUGCCACGCGGGCGACCCGGGUUCGACUCUCAGCCAAUGCA